GGGAUUGUGUUUUUGUGUAGCUGCCUGUGAACACUGCAUCUACUACACGCUUCGUUUGUUCUGUAUUGUUUUGUCUAUUUUCAGUCAAAGUGGGGAAACAACAGAACAAACAGCUUGUUAUUUCCCUCUGGACAGACAGAGGAAUCCCUGGUUAACCAGAAGGAGCAGGCGGAUUGCCACCACAGUGAGGUGCCCGUUUUAUCCUGGCGAUCGUGUCUGUCUCUCCAGGAACCUCCCACUCUGCCUGCCUUGUAAGAAGCUGAGCCCCCGGCCAGUAGUUGCUGAUCCCCCGGCCGAGACUGUCCCCCACGACACCCCUCCGCUAGCCUUGGACAUCGAGGGAGGUCCCACCUAUGCUGUCAGAUGGACUCCCUGGACUCCCGACAUCGUGCGGGUUGGCUCCAGUACCUGGUGGACUGGGAGGGGUACGGUCCCGAGGAGCGUUGUUGGGUUCUGGUGAAGGAAAUUCUGGAUCCUAACAUCAUCUGUGAUUCCCACCUUCACUGUCCGGACCGGCCCGCUCCUCACCCUCAGGGCCUUCUCCUUGGCUGGUGCUGUCCAGCGGCAGGAGCCGCGUGUCAGUGUGGGGGACUGUCACGUCUACUCCUGCUCAUUCCACGCACCUACUCCUCAUGACAAGGCACACCUGGACUCCAUUUCCUCACUCAUUACCUCUCCUAUAUAUGGCACUCAGGUUUAUUCCCCAGGCAGUAUUGAUGUUUCAUGUUCGUACGCUUCUCUUGUAUU